rnacentral:rRNA from 1 species
CCUACGGGAGGCAGCAGUGGGGAAUAUUGCACAAUGGGGGAAACCCUGAUGCAGCGAUGCCGCGUGGAGGAAGAAGGUUUUCGGAUUGUAAACUCCUUUUAUCAGGGACGAUAAUGACGGUACCUGAAGAAAAAGCUCCGGCUAACUACGUGCCAGCAGCCGCGGUAAUACGUAGGGAGCGAGCGUUGUCCGGAAUUACUGGGUGUAAAGGGAGCGUAGGCGGGACGGCAAGUCAGAUGUGAAAACUGAGGGCUCAACCUUCAGACUGCAUUUGAAACUGCUGUUCUUGAGUUGGAGAGAAGUAUGCGGAAUGCGCGGUGUAGCGGUGAAAUGCAUAGAUAUCGCGCAGAACUCCGAUUGCGAAGGCAGCAUGCCGGCUCCACACUGACGCUGAGGCACGAAAGCGUGGGUAUCGAACAGGAUUAGAUACCCUUGUAGUC